rnacentral:rRNA from 1 species
AGAGUUUGAUCAUGGCUCAGAGCGAACGCUGGCGGCGUGCUUAACACAUGCAAGUCGAACGAGACUUGUAGCAAUACAAGUUUCGUGGCGAACGGGUGCGUAACACGUGGAUAACCUUCCUUGAGGUGGGGAAUAACCCCGCGAAAGCGGGGCUAAUACCGCAUAAUACGGCGAUGGCACAUGCUGUUGCCGUCAAAGGA